UUCGCCCUUAGAGUUUGAUUCUCGCUCAAGAUGAACGCUGGCGGCGUGCUUAACACAUGCAAGUCGAACGAAGCACAUAAGGACGAGUCUUCGGAUGAAGCCGUAUGUGACUGAGUGGCGGACGGGUGAGUAACGCGUGGGUAACCUGCCUCACACAGGGGGAUAACAGUUGGAAACGACCGCUAAUACCGCAUAACCCGCUAGGGGCGCAUGCUCCGGACGGAAAAGAUUAAUCGGUGUGAGAUGGACCCGCGUCUGAUUAGCCAGUUGGCAGGGUAACGGCCUACCAAAGCGACGAUCAGUAGCCGGCCUGAGAGGGUGAACGGCCACAUUGGGACUGAGACACGGCCCAAACUCCUACGGGAGGCAGCAGUGGGGAAUAUUGCACAAUGGGGGGAACCCUGAUGCAGCGACGCCGCGUGAGUGAAGAAGUAUUUCGGUAUGUAAAGCUCUAUCAGCAGGGAAGAAAAUGACGGUACCUGACUAAGAAGCCCCGGCUAACUACGUGCCAGCAGCCGCGGUAAUACGUAGGGGGCAAGCGUUAUCCGGAUUUACUGGGUGUAAAGGGAGCGUAGACGGCGAUGCAAGUCAGAAGUGAAAGCCCGCGGCUCAACUGCGGGACUGCUUUUGAAACUGUAUAGCUUGAGUG
rnacentral:rRNA from 1 species